GGCAUAAUCCUUGGCGUCAUUGCGGCUGUCACAGGACGUGCAGUUACCCUGCAAGCACCACACCAACAGGUUCAGUGUGGCUGCACUGUAUAAUGGGACCCUGCUGAAGCUCCAUGUCCAAAUCAGAGCAAAUUGCUGAUGCUGAAGACUGUGAUGUCACAUCUUAAGUAAUAAAGCUCAAAAAAUUAUUUAGUAUG